AAUGGAGACAGAUUCAGUUUUACAAUAUGAAAAGAGGCAUGGAAGGUGGUGGUGAUGGCACAACCAUGUGAAUGUUCCUAAUACCGCUGGACUGGUCACUUGAAAAUGAUCAAUUUUGUGUUAUAUACAUUUUACCCAAUAAAAAGAGAGAGAUAGACCAAAGAAAAUUUUUUAGUCAUUCUAGUGGGUGUGUGCUACUACUCAUAGUAGUUUUAAUUUGCAUUUCUCUGGCCCUAUACAUUAAUGAUCUUAAGCAUCUUUUUACAAUUGUGUGAGUGCUCAGUUGCUCAGUCUGGACUCUUUGCGACCCUAUUGGCUGUAGCCUGCCAGACUCCUCUGUCCAUGGAUUCUCCAGGAAUGUUAAGAUUCCAGAAGAAACCUACACUACAUCUCAUCUCAAUGAAAGAGUAACUGGAAAUUUCAACACAAAGGGAAAGAGUCUACAGAUGAAAAUAAGUAUAAGAGAAUUCAUUGUAAUAUACUUAAAACUUUUCCAUAGGUUUAAAUUUUUUCAAAAUAAAUGCAUUUAAUUUAAAAAGGGAGUCCUUUGACAUAUAGAAGUGAUGAAACUGCACAACUCAUAUUGGGAUUUGAACUCACUGUCUUUUUUAUAAUUAAAUUUAUUUAUUUUUAAUUGAAGAAAACUCACUGUCUUUUAAUUGAACUCACGCAUCUGGUCUCAGGACUUGAUGAAGUUCUCAAUGAAGUUCUUUUUUUUUUUUUUUUAAGUUAACUAUACCUCAAAUUAUUUAUUUAUUUAUUUUACUUUACAAUAUUGUAUUGGUUUUGCCAUACAUCAACAUGAAUCCACCACAGGUGUACACAUGUUCCCAAUCCUGAACCCCUCUCCCACCUCCUUCCCCAUACCAUCCCUCUGGGUCAUCCCAAUGCACCAGCCCCAAGCAUCCUGUAUCCUGCAUCGAACCUGGACUGGUGAUUCAUUUCUUAUAUGAUAUUAUACAUGUUUCAAUGCCAUUCUCCCAAAUCCUCCCACCCUCUCCCUCUCCCACAGAGUCCAAAAGACUGUUCUAUACAUCUGAGUCUCUUUUGCUGUCUCGCAUACAGCAUUAUUGUUACCAUCUUUCUAAAUUCCAUAUAUAUGCAUUAGUAUACUGUAUUGGUAUUUUUCUUUCUGGCUUACUUCACCCUGUAUAAUAGGCUCCAGUUUCAUCCACCUCAUUAGAACUGAUUCAAAUGUAUUCUUUUUAAUGGCUGAGUAAUACUCCAUUGUGUAUAUGUACCCCAGCUUUCUUAUCCAUUCAUCUGCUGAUGGACAUCUAGGUUGCUUCCAUGUCCUGGCUAUUAUAAACAGUUCUGCAAUGAACAUUGGG
ensembl:lncRNA